rnacentral:rRNA from 1 species
CAUCAAUGGGGGCAACCUCGACGGAGCAACGCCGCGUGGGGGAGGAAUAUCUGUGGAUUGUAAACCCCUUUUCUCUGGGAAGAAGACCAGACGGUACCAGAGGAAUCAGCAUCGGCUAAUUCCGUGCCAGCAGCCGCGGUAAGAGGGAGGAUGCAAGCGUUAUCGGGAAUUAUUGGGGGUAAAGCGUCCGUAGGCGGUUUAUAAAGUCUGCUGUCAAAGACUGCAGCCCAACCGUGGGCGGAGCAGUGGAAACAUGAGGAACUGGAGUACGGUAGGGGUAGAGGUAUUUACCCAGUGUAGAGGUGAAAUGCGUCGAUCUCAGGAAGAUCCCC